CCUAGCCUUGGAGUGGGGAAUAACAGCUGGAAACAGCUGCUAAUACCGCAUAAUAUGUCUGAACCGCAUGGCUCUGGACAUCAAAGAUUUAUCGCUCUGAGAUGGACUCGCGUCUGAUUAGCUAGUUGGUGGGGCAACGGCCCACCAAGGCGACGAUCAGUAGCCGGACUGAGAGGUUGGCCGGCCACAUUGGGACUGAGACACGGCCCAGACUCCUACGGGAGGCAGCAG
rnacentral:rRNA from 1 species